UACGUAGGGGGCAAGCGUUGUCCGGAAUCAUUGGGCGUAAAGAGCGUGUAGGCGGUCCGGUCAGUCGGUUGUGAAAGUCAAGGGCUCAACCCUUGAAUGCCGGCCGAUACUGCCGGGCUAGAGUCCGGAAGAGGUGAGUGGAAUUCCUGGUGUAGCGGUGAAAUGCGCAGAUAUCAGGAGGAACACCGGUGGCGAAGGCGGGUCUCUGGGCCGAUACUGACGCUGAGGAGCGAAAGCGUGGGGAGCGAACAGG
rnacentral:rRNA from 1 species